rnacentral:rRNA from 1 species
GACGAACGCUGGCGGCGUGCUUAACACAUGCAAGUCGAACGGAAAGUCCCUGCUUUUGUGGGGUGCUCGAGUGGCGAACGGGUGAGUAACCCGUGAGUAACCUGCCCUUGACUUUGGGAUAACUUCAGGUAACUGGGGCUAAUACCGGAUAGGAGCUCCUGCUGCUUGGUGGGGGUUGGAAAGUUUCGGCGGUUGGGGAUGGACUCGCGGCUUAUCAGCUAGUUGGUGGGGUAGUGGCUUACCAAGGCUUUGACGGGUAGCCGGCCUGAGAGGGUGACCGGCCACAUUGGGACUGAGAUACGGCACAGACUCCUACGGGAGGCAACGGUGGGGAGGAUUACACAAUGGGAGGAAGCCUGAUGCAGCGACGCCGCGUGCGGGAUGACGGCCUUCGGGUUGUAAACCGCUUUCGCCUGUGACGAAGCGUGAGUGACGGUAAUGGGUAAAGAAGCACCGGCUAACUACGUG